CCAAAAUGAAAAAGUAAAAGCCUUUCUUUCAUGUCAUUUUUCACUUUUUUAAGAAUCGGUUUAGGAAUCGGAAUCGUUUUAAAAGUACCGAAUCGUAAAAAUCCAAACGAUACCCAACCCUAAUCA